AUCAGGAGGGAGACCACGCCCACUCUGCGCCGACCGGCUGGGCCUGGCACCCGCGGGCGGCCCCAGCCUCAGUCUCCAGCUACCUUUGCCUCCUGCGGCCGCCCCCAGGCAGAGCUGCGAUCCCACCGCCGGGGGUGCAGGGAGAGGGAAGAUCUGGCCUCCUUGGUCCUUUUGCGUGGGCUCUUCAGAGCGUGAGCGCCGGGGAGGGACUCCGGAGAAAAGCUUGGGGGGCUGCGUAUUGCUGCUCCCCAAGCUGGGCGUCAGGACCAACCCCGCCGCCCCCACGGGCCUGACGGGAGAGGAGGAAGGGCUCGGGACGGUCGGCUCGCCGAGCCAACCAGGUGGCGCCUGAAGAGCUGUCCAUGGUGUCGACAGCCCAGCAAACGGCACCGAGUUCCUAGUCUGAGUGUCUGGAUAGGUAGCAGAAGAAAAACUAAUGCCUGCUCUGGGACAGUUCUGUUCGGUGCCUUUUCUUGUGUGUUCUGGAGCUCACAGGGUUCUAUCGAAGAGUGCUUAGGUGUAUACGAUGGAGAGUGGGACGUCACAAACCAGGAUCUCAAGGCUGAGUCCAACAAAACAUGGCCGUAGGGAGGCCACGACAGCUGUGGUUGUCACCGACGGAUGAAUAGCUUUUGCCAACCGUGGAAUUUAGUAACUAAAGGCACCUAACCCUUUUAUCUCAUCCUCAUUUUUCAACAAAUGGUGCUUCCUGGCUAAUAUCAGCGUGUCCCAUAGAUUUCUGCUUCCAUUGAAUAGACCUAAUAAGAAAGAGAAUGAAGUCAAAGCCAACAGGGCAGAAAGAAAUUGAAAACCUGAAGAACCCAGCACUCAAACUGUCUCCACUUGCGUUUGCUUUUUCUUUACCUCUUCUCCUUCUGGUUUUCAACAGCCAAAGCAGGAUUUAAAUUUGGUUAUGUUGCAAAAAUCAUUUCCCUCUUCAGGCCCUGUCAUGUGACUUGAUUUUUUCGUCCAUUUUAGAGAAGCUGUACCCACCCUGGUUUCAGGACACGGAACUAAAUUUAUUAGAAAAGAAGCCACUUCAAGUCAUGAAGGAGAAACACAAAGAUUCUUGGAUUUAGUUCUAAGAACUAGAGGGGAUUUCUAUGUCAGUACUGUCUCAGAAAAAACUGUUGAUAUCAAAUGUGUUGCUUGAGAAGUACCUUUUUUUUUUUGAGACGGAGUCUCGCUCUGUCCGCCCAGGCUAGAGUGCAGUGGCGCGAUCUCGGCUCACUGCAAGCUCCGCCUCCCGGGUUCACGCCGUUCUCCUGCCUCAGCCUCCCGAGUAGCUGGGAUUACAGGUGCCCACCACCACGCCCGGCUAAUUUUUGUAUUUUUAGUAGAGACAGGGUUUCACCGUGUUAGCCAGGAUGGUCUCGAUCUCCUGACCUCGUGAUCCACCCGCCUCGGCCUCCCAAAGUGCUGGGAUAACAGGCGUGAGCCAUCGCGCCCGGCCGAGAGGUACCUUUUAUGACAACUGAAAUCAUUCAGUUUCAAGAGGAGUUGGGUACUGAAACCAAACUUGCUUACUCCAAAGCCCAAAAUCCUUUCCACCAUGCCUGUGUGUCUGUAAGGCUACACUAGAAAUGCUUCCUUUCUUAUAGUGGGAAGCAUGGGUACUAAGCUCUUUUACGAACAAGUGUUCUGCAUAUUCCUGGUUCCUUUUUAUUUUGGACUGAGGAGAUUUAGGUCAAAAUUUCUGGGUUCUGGGUUGGAAUUCCAGCUUCUUUCUUCAAAUUAAACUGGGGGGUAGCAAGACUUAUUCCUAGAUUUGUUAGAAGGCCACAGCUUUUCCACAUCUCAUUUUAGUCAUGAAAAAGACACAUGCCCAGAGUUUGAAAAACAUAAAGGCAAUUUGACUAGUGGC
ensembl:lncRNA PAXBP1-AS1 PAXBP1 antisense RNA 1